ACGGUGAUAAAGAACUUUUCCACAAAAGCUACUAAUUCAUGCUAUAGUAAAGCAAACUAGAUGAAUAGUUAAGCACCUCAUAAACAUGGUUUUUAGAGCUAUGGACUGAAUUUUCAGACCAUUUGACCUUAAAUUUUAAGAUUUAAUUUAUUUUCUAAAAUUCAAUAAAAAAAGGAUCUUCUGAGUAAAUUCAUAUUGUAAUCUGCUCAAAAUUAUAAGAGGCUACUGACUUAAAUCUAAAUGCAAUCAAAUCCCUAGUAUCCUUGCCUUUCUGUAUAAUUAUAGCGAAGGACCCAUAGUACAAUAGGCAGGUCAACUCAAUUCCAAAACAAACUAAUUCUAACAGACCUCAAAAAAGGCUGACAGUCAUGAAAUGCUCGUUUCUCAUGAAGAACCAGGCUAACACUCAGAAAUGAACAUAAAAAAUUAAAAAACAAAAUACGAGUCAUGUACAAACAGAUGCAAAUUAUUCCUCAACCAUUGCUACGGUGAUAAAGAACUUUUCCACCUUCUCUCUUCCUGUUCAGUAAUAGAGGGUCAACUUGAAAA
rnacentral:misc_RNA from 1 species